rnacentral:rRNA from 1 species
CGCCAGACUCCUACGGGAGGCAGCAGUGAGGAAUAUUGGUCAAUGGGCGGGAGCCUGAACCAGCCAUGCCGCGUGAAGGCGAGUGCCCUACGGGCGUUAAACUUCUUUUGUGCGGGAGCAAUAAGGGCCACGUGUGGCCCGAUGAGAGUACCGCACGAAUAAGCAUCGGCUAACUCCGUGCCAGCAGCCGCGGUAAUACGGAGGAUCCGGGCGUUAUCCGGAUUUAUUGGGUUUAAAGGGAGCGUAGGUGGAUUGUUAAGUCAGUUGUGAAAGUGUGCGGCUCAACCGUAAGAUUGCAGUUGAAACUGGCAGUCUUGAGUACAGUAGAGGUGGGCGGAAUUCGUGGUGUAGCGGUGAAAUGCUUAGAUAUCACGGAGAACCCCGAUUGCGAAGGCAGCCUUCCGGCGCCCUACUGACGCUGAGGCACGAAAGGGCGGGGAUCGAACAGGAUUAGAUACCCGGGUAAC